rnacentral:rRNA from 1 species
UACGUAGGAGGCAAGCGUUGUCCGGAGUUACUGGGCGUAAAGCGCACGCAGGCGGUCUUGUCAGUCUGUAGGGACAGGGCACAGCUCAACUGUGUCAGGCUUAUGGAAACUGCAAGACUUGAGGGCUUCAGAGGGAUGGGGAAUUCCGGGUGGAGUGGUGAAAUGCGUAGAGAUCCGGAAGAACACCAAAGGCGAAGGCACCAUCCUGGGGAGUCACUGACGCUCGGGUGCGAAAGCUAGGGGAACGAACGGG